GAUGAACGCUGGCGGCGUGCCUAAUACAUGCAAGUCGAGCGAACAGACGAGGAGCUUGCUCCUCUGACGUUAGCGGCGGACGGGUGAGUAACACGUGGAUAACCUACCUAUAAGACUGGGAUAACUUCGGGAAACCGGAGCUAAUACCGGAUAAUAUAUUGAACCGCAUGGUUCAAUAGUGAAAGACGGUUUUGCUGUCACUUAUAGAUGGAUCCGCGCCGCAUUAGCUAGUUGGUAAGGUAACGGCUUACCAAGGCGACGAUGCGUAGCCGACCUGAGAGGGUGAGCGGCCACAAUGGAACUGAGACACGGUCCAGACUCCUACGGGAGGCAGCAGUAGGGAAUCUUCCGCAAGGGGCGAAAGCCUGACGGAGCAACGCCGCGUGAGUGAUGAAGGUCUUCGGAUCGUAAAACUCUGUUAUUAGGGAAGAACAAAUGUGUAAGUAACUAUGCACGUCUUGACGGUACCUAAUCAGAAAGCCACGGCUAACUACG
rnacentral:rRNA from 1 species